rnacentral:SRP_RNA from 1 species
GCUGGGACGAUAGGCCUGGCUAAAUUAAAAUCUUCAUACCAGACACCACAGCAUCUUCUAGCACAAUAAGGAGAAUCCUUGAGACUAGGAGGGCUGCAGUAUACUAUACCAAUCACUUGUCUGCACUAAGUUCAGAAUCAACAUGGUGACUUCCUGAGGGCAGGGGACAACCAGGUUACCUUGGUAGGGGUGAACAGGCCCAGGUUAGAAAGAAAGUAGGUCAAAACUUUCGUGCUGAUGAGUAGUGCAAUUGUGCCUGUGAAUAGCCAUUGCACUCAGCUUGGGCAACAUAGCAAGGCCUGUUUCUU